UUCCACCAUUGGGGGCCAGAGCAGCGAACAGUUUUGACUGGGCUGAGCGGGAACUGUACUUCCUCAGUGGUAGGGAGGCGAGCAGGCCAGAGGUGGAUGAACGCAGUGCCCUUGUUUGGGUGUAGGGCCUGAUCAGAGCCUGGAGGUACUGAGGUGCCGUUCCCCUCACAGCUCCGUAGGCAAGCACCAUGGUCUUGUAGCGGAUGCGAGCUUCAACUGGAAGCCAGUGGAGGGUAGGAUACACACACACCACUUCACCAGCCUCCUGCAGGGUAGGAUACACACACACCACUUCACCAGCCUCCUGCAGGGUAGGAUACACACACACACCACUUCACCAGCAUCCUGCAGGGUAGGAGACACACACACACACCACUUCACCAGCCUCCUGCACGGUAGGAGACACACACACACACACCACUUCACCAGCCUCCUGCACGGUAGGAGACACACACACACACCACUUCACCAGCCUCCUGCAGGGUAGGAGACACACACACCACUUCACCGGCCUCCUGGAGGGUAGGAGACACACACACACACACCACUUCACCAGCCUCCUGGAGGGUAGGAGACACACACACCACUUCACCGGCCUCCUGGAGGGUAGGAGACACACACACACACCACUUCACCAGCCUCCUGCACGGUAGGAGACACACACACACCACUUCACCAGCCUCCUGCACGGUAGGAGACACACACACACCACUUCACCGGCCUCCUGCAGGGUAGGAGACACACACACCACUUCACCGGCCUCCUGCAGGGUAGGAGACACACACACCACUUCACCGGCCUCCUGCAGGGUAGGAGACACACACACCACUUCACCGGCCUCCUGCAGGGUAGGAGACACACACACCACUUCACCGGCCUCCUGGAGGGUAGGAGACACACACACCACUUCACCAGCCUCCUGGAGGGUAGGAGACACACACACCACUUCACCAGCCUCCUGGAGGGUAGGAGACACACACACCACUUCACCAGCCUCCUGGAGGGUAGGAGACACACACACCACUUCACCAGCCUCCUGGAGGGUAGGAGACACACACACACACACCACUUCACCAGCCUCCUGGAGGGUAGGAGACACACACACACACCACUUCACCAGCCUCCUGGAGGGUAGGAGACACACACACACACCACUUCACCAGCCUCCUGGAGGGUAGGAGACACACACACACACCACUUCACCAGCCUCCUGGAGGGUAGGAGACACACACACCACUUCACCAGCCUCCUGGAGGGUAGGAGACACACACACCACUUCACCAGCCUCCUGGAGGGUAGGAGACACACACACCACUUCACCAGCCUCCUGGAGGGUAGGAGACACACACACCACUUCACCAGCCUCCUGGAGGGUAGGAGACACACACACCACUUCACCAGCCUCCUGGAGGGUAGGAGACACACACACCACUUCACCAGCCUCCUGGAGGGUAGGAGACACACACACCACUUCACCACCUCUCGACACUGGUGGAGAUGUUGUGUCUGACCCUCACCACCUGGGGGUGAUUUGAUUGGAGUGUGUGUGUAUGCUCUCUCUCUCUUU